GUCUAUGGCCAUGCCGCCCUGAACAAGCCCGAUGUCUGAUCUCGGAAGCUAAGCAGAGCUGGGCCUGGUUAGUACUUGGAUGGGAGACCAGCUAGGAAGACCAUGUGCUGUAGGCA
rnacentral:rRNA from 1 species